CCCAGACCCUGGAAGAAUACAGAGUGACGACGCAGGAACUGAGGCUGGAGAUUUCACGACUGGAGGAGCAGCUGAGUCAGACCUAUGAGGGGCCCGAUGAGCUACCUGAAGGGGCCCAGCUGAGAAGAGUGGGCUGGACCCAGCUGCUACCCCCAUCGCUGGGCUUGGAGAUCAAGGCCAUUCGACAGAAACAGGAAGUGGCAACUGCUGAUCUCUCCAACCCUCUGUGUGGGCUGUGGCAGUGGGAGGAAGUCAUCCAUGAGACCAGUGAGGAAACUGAGUUUCCAUCUGAAGCCCCAGCUGGGGGACAGAGAAACUUCCAGGGAGAGCCAGCGCACCCUGAAGAAGGAAGGAAGGAGCCAUCCAUGUGGUUGACCAGAAGAGAGGAAGAGGAGGAUGCAGAGAGCCAGGUCACGGUAGGCAGUCCCCAGCACCCCUCCCCAGUCCCCAUCCACUCCACACCCACAGAGGCUGAGUCGUUUCAACUCUUCCCAAGCCCCAGCCUCACACUCCAACUCCUCAGGAGCAGAGAGAAAAAUCAUUUGGCCAAGAGAUAACAAGGCCUUUGCUGUAGCUAAUGAGAGUGAUGGUGAGGUGGGGGGAGGCCUGGAGGCUAGUGGGCGGCCAGGCUGCUCCCAGGGGACCCUCCCAGCAACACACACAGGGCUGCAGCCACCACACCGCAGGCCUCAUAGACGUGGCUACACCCCCGGAUUGCAUAAAUGCACACGCACAUGCGCCCACACUCGGGAGAGGUUGGGCCAGCCCUCCCCAGCCAGCCUCAGAACUCCCUGGGGGCGCAGUGCCCACAGCCCCCCUGCCUGCAGCCACACAGGCCAGUUCCUCUGCUCCUCAGAGCCCAGUGCCCGGUGGGGGUUAAGAUUUCCAUUCUCAGGCAAGGACAGGGAAAGAAACUUGGUAAGGAGAGGUGAGAAGCCCUCAGUUGUGAGCUGAGGAAUGCAGGAGCUGGGCUGGAGUCUGCCUGUUGUGGGUCAGGCACUGUCAGGGCCCCUGGGGCUCUUCAGGGUCCAAACCGGCC
rnacentral:sRNA from 1 species